rnacentral:sRNA from 1 species
AAGUAUCUCAAGUUUCCGUGCUAAGUAAAGCCAGGAAAGCAAAUGGGUAAAUGACUUAUUUGAAGUCAAACCCCAUCAACCCCUCGAACGGCAUACCAUACCCAACGGACAUCCCAUCGUUCAACCCGACGCCUUCCACACUUUCCCCUGCUCCGCACCUAUCGGCUUCAACUCCAUCUUGUGUUCGUCCCGACGUAUGUGAAUGAAUCUCUCCGCUCAGUACCGUCCCCUCUUGACGGGCAUCUUUGUAAGACGUGCUGUUACCCCAUAUUCUCGAACCUCUACUCGUCCCAGGAGGGAAUUUACGUUCAUUCCCACCUUUAUCCUUUCUAACUGUAGCGCUACCCCAUCUCCCCCAAGGCUCAAAAUCCUGAUCCAUCUCCAUUGGCUGAUUGAACAAUGUCGGACUAUCAUUCCCAUUCCCAUUCGUCAAACCUCCGCCCACACCUGUCUCUGGGAUAUCGAAAACUUGAAGUUGUGAUUGUGCUUGCGGUUGAGAGGGGUCGAGAGGAGGAGAGGAAGGAGUCAGGCUACCAUUUCGUGAAUCCGCAGCAAUCAGAGUCCAUAAACCGGGUUUCCUAACCUUGCUUGGGAUACACAUCGGAGACAUCGUACCGGGUUGAGUAUGCGCAUGCGCUUGAGGUUGUAGCUGAGUCUGAAAUGAUAACGGACCCGGAGAAUGUAGAGUGGAAGUUGUACUGGUAUCAGUAUUCGGUAAAAAGGGAGUAGUGGUAGUUAUAGAAAGCGAAGGGAGGCCAUGAGAGGGUAUUUGUGGCAAGUCGACAUCUAUAAGUCCUCGUUUUUUCCCACCAUUCUCGCCCAUCGGCCUCUCAUGUCCCCCGUUCUCACCUUUACUACCCACAAUACCACACUGCCGUAUCGGACUCACAGCCCGACUAAACGGAUCGCCAGCAAUCCCAAGCGCCAUAGGGAACGCUCCUACAGGCGUGCGUGGAUACAUCGGACUGGUUUUUGGCUCUCCAUUUCCCCCUACAUCUUCGAGAGUGCCGGAUGAUGGGUCGGAAAGAGAGACUCUUUGACCGUCUACCCAACACGGCCCGGUCAAUGCGGCACUCAAUGCUUGCGUGAGUAAAGAUCCCGGCGACGACGAUGAUUCUUCUGUUGAGAUAGAAUUGAGCCGCGGACCGGGAGGAUAGGAUGGGAUUCCGCUCUCCUUACACACGGGAUGAUGCAUGUUGGGUUGUUGAAAGUAGUUGCGUUGGAACGGUUGGAGAGGGUUGAAUUUAAACUGAGGUUGCGGUUGACAAUGGGUUGGCGAUAAGUAGGCAUCAGAAGUAUCAGAGCCGGUGUUCGUGGUAUAUUUGGAAGCACGACGUUUAUAUGGGCCCCUGUAGUGGUCUUAGUAUACGACCACCUCGUCGAAAAUUACUAAACGCACCGUUUAAUACCCGUCUUCCUUGGCUUCCGUGUGGAAUCGACACAAUCUG